AGCAGCCGCGGUAAUUCCAGCUCCAAUAGCGUAUAUUAAAGUUGUUGCAGUUAAAAAGCUCGUAGUUGAAUUUCGAGAUCGGUUUAUUGGUCGUGCUAUUGUACGUACUGGUAUUACCGGUUUCUCCUUUCUGACGAACCUUAAUGCCAUUAAUUUGGUGUUUUGGGAAAUCAGGACUGUUACUUUGAAAAAUUAGAGUGUUUAAAGCAGGCUCACGCUUGAAUACAUUAGCAUGGAAUAACGGAAUAGGGCGUUUGAUUCUAUUUUGUUGGUUUCUAGGAUCGACGUAAUGAUUAAUAGGGAUAGUUGGGGGCAUUAGUAUUCAAUUGUCAGAGGUGAAAUUCUUGGAUUUAUUGAAGACUAACUACUGCGAAAGCAUUUGCCAAGGAUGUUUUCAUUAAUCAAGAACGAAAGUUAGAGGAUCGAAGACGAUCAGAUACCGUCGUAGUCUUAACCAUAAACUAUGCCGACUAGGGAUCGGAUGAUGUUAAUUUUUAAUGACUCAUUC
rnacentral:rRNA from 1 species